UUUUUCCUGCCACGUCGAAGCCCUACGUUCCUACGCGGGGUACUUAGUAGGCGGGGCGGGGAUUA
rnacentral:ncRNA from 1 species